rnacentral:lncRNA from 1 species
CAGAAAAAAGCUAAGGCAUAGCGCCAACUGCUUUCACAAAGGUGUAUCGCCGUCUGGUCACUUAAGGUGUAACGCCGGUCGCUCUUAUGAAGAUUAUUAUUAUCUUCCCGCUGAGAUAGUAUCGCCGUGUGCAAAAGGCAGGGCUAUCACCGUCUCACAACUAAGGGCUAUCGCUAUCUCACGACUAAGGGGUUAUCGACGUCUCACGACCAAGGG